CUGGUCUAUUAAUACCUAUGGAAAACCACUGCUGCAGUCACAUAUCACACAGAACCACUUCCACUUACCAAAAAAACAAUCAAUUUUAUUAGAAAUCAGGGGGGAAGGGGGAAUAAAAAAAGACCAUCUUGAGAUGAGCUAUUCCACUAAAAACCCAUUGACAAUUAUAAAACGCAACUUGAUCACAGGGGACAACAAAUCACGAGGGAGGCUCAUAUGGGUCAGAAGCAUUGGUCCCAGUAAACCAUUGCAGAAGCCAACCAAACAAGCACCCCACCCCCUUUAAAAUGUAUUCCUGACAGAGCUAGAAUGGGUCUCUCUAUAACCAUUAGACCCACGGGAAUGGAGCCAGAGGCAAAAAACCCAAAAAUCUGUACAUUCAAAGCGGAGAUGGGCCUACGCCUGAGCCCCAAAAUUACACUCGUCUCCCUUCCCCGCCACAAUUUCUGGCGGUGGGGUCCUCAUCAGCACCUAAAUGACUAGGCACCCCGGGAGAACCACAGGGGGCCAUCUCUUGUCCAGCCACCUCCAUCAAGAGCCUUCUUUCUAGUCAUUGCACUCAAUGGCCUCUGUCUAGGUCAGGCCAAACCAGAUCUGAAGUCCGCCCGGCGUUAUGGGUGAUUGAAAUCUGGACCAGAAUCUACCUGGCCUAUCUCCAAUUCGAGCCCGGCUCUACAUGGGCGGGCCAAUAGAGACCUCUUUCUUAUUUAUAAAAAAAAAUAUUUCACAGUUUCAGGGUUAGGAAGAAGGUGGGAAAAGCCACUUGACAAACUAGCUUUUCCUUCUCCGUGCCCAUCAGAACACCACAGUCUCCUGCUGUAGGAUUUCUGCCUAGAGAUAUCCUACCCUGCUAUAGACAAAGGCGAGGGGACCAAGGAGAGAUCCAGGGACUGGACUCCUAUUAGGGUCGGGGACAAGGCAUCCAUCUGGCUCCCUUUAUUUCCUUCAAUACAGACAUUUGAGGCCAGUGGAGCGUCGCCCGGCCCCUACCCCUUGCCCAGUAUUGGAGUGCUGGAACUCCCAGCUCCCACUUUUAUCCCGGGGGAACGUGAUGAGAGGCAUCCAGGCUCCAAACAGAACUCCCUUCCCUGGCCCAGCCAUAACCCUACCCCUGCCCCGAGGAGGAGACGACCCCACAGAGCCCACAAAAGUUAUGGAGCAGACAAAUGGCAGAAGCCGAGGCAUGCAGAGCGGAGAGCAGGUGCAGCAGGCUGUCCGUUCUCUGUCCAUUUCCUAUCGGCUCCUCUGCCCCUCCCCGUCCCCAACUCUGCAGGAGGAGGUUGCAAAUUCCACCAGAUCCUCAAGCCUUCCCCGUUGAUCCGCUUCCCCCUGACUGAGGCAGCAAAGACGAUGAAUCCCGUUGUCCCGCUCAUCCACUGAGCUGCAAGACUGGGGUGAGCUGGCCUAGCCGGGGGUGUAGAGACAGACACUGGUCCUGGUGCGAUGGGUGGGUGGGAUGCCCGGCCGCCUCUCCGUCCAGGAAAAAGGAACU
rnacentral:lncRNA from 1 species